rnacentral:rRNA from 1 species
UCGUCAGCUCGUGCCGUGAGGUGUCGGCUUAAGUGCCAUAACGAGCGCAACCCCUCUCUCCGGUUGCCAUCAGGCAAUGCUGGGCACUCCGGAGACACUGCCGCCGCAAGGUGUGAGGAAGGUGGGGAUGACGUCAAAUCAGCACGGCCCUUACGUCCGGGGCUACACACGUGUUACAAUGGCCGGUACAGAGCGUCGGAGGCCCGCAAGGUCCUUCCAAUCGUAAAAUCCGGUCCCAGUUCGGACUGGGGUCUGCAACCCGACCCCACGAAGCUGGAUUCGCUAGUAAUCGCGCAUCAGCCAUGGCGCGGUGAAUACGUUCCCGGGCCUUGUACACGCCGCCCGUCAAGCCAUGAAAGCCGGGGGCGCCUGAAGUCCGUGACCGCAAGGAUCGGCCUAGGGCAGAACCAAAUGAUUGGGGCUAAGUCGUAACAAGGUAACCGUA